UACGUAUGGGGCGAGCGUUAUCCGGAUUUACUGGGUGUAAAGGGAGUGCAGGCGGCCUGGCAGGCCUGAUGUGAAACCCCGCAGCCUAACUGCGGGCAUGCAUUGGGAACCGCCGGGCUGGAGCGUCGGAGGGGCAGGCGGAAUUCCCAGUGUAGCGGUGAAAUGCGUAGAGAUUGGGAGGAACACCGGUGGCGAAGGCGGCCUGCUGGACGACGGCUGACGCUGAGGCUCGAAAGCGUGGGGAGCAAAC
rnacentral:rRNA from 1 species